AAAAACCUAUAUGUUCUAGUUAUAGGCCUCUUACAUUCGAGCCUGCAAGGCGAGGGAGUCCAGUGACUACUACUUCUUGCUACUCUGCACUUCACUCAUGGUUGUGACCAUGGCUUGGGCGACUUGGCUCCAUUCAUUUUCACUAUCGCCUAUUCUACUUCCAGAUCUCUCUCGUCAUACGUUUGGUGCCUUCAAUCGGUUGUCUUCGACAAUUUCGUCAGCCUCCUUGUGGAAUCGGAAAAAACCUUAUGUGUUGGCGGUUCGUGCGCAGGCCAGGCGUGGCUUCUCCCCUCUAGAAGAUGAAGUAGCUUCUCGUGAUGUUCUUCACUUCGAAGCACCGCUCACAAUUGUGGAAUAUCCGGAUCCUAUUUUGAGGGCUAAAAACAAGCGAAUUGACACAUUUGAUGACAACUUGAAGAAGUUGGUUGAUGAGAUGUUCGACGUUAUGUAUAAAACCGAUGGUAUUGGCCUCUCAGCGCCCCAAGUAGGAAUUAAUGUUCAACUUAUGGUAUUCAAUCCAGUGGGUGAGCGGGGCGAAGGAGAGGAAAUCGUACUGGUGAAUCCAAGAGUUAAUAAAUAUUCAAAGAAAACAUUGCUCUACAAUGAAGGUUGCCUAUCUUUUCCUGGGAUCUAUGCUGAUGUGGAGAGACCAGAAACUGUUAAGAUUGAUGCACGUGACAUUAAUGGGGCAAGAUUUAUGGUGAACUUUUCCGGUCUUCCUGCGCGUGUCUUUCAGCAUGAAUUUGACCAUUUGCAGGGGAUUCUUUUCUUCGAUAGAAUGUCAGUACAAGUGCUUGACAGUAUUCGGACAGAACUACAGGCAUUAGAAACGAAGUAUGAGGAAAAAACUGGUUUGCCGAGCCCUGAAAAGUUUGAAGCAAGAAAACAGAAGAAGGUUGCUACCGGGUUUGGAAAACCAAAAGCACUUGUGCAACCUUCCACUCAGUGAUCAGGAUGGCUUGUUGAGUUGCUGUUAAAUGCUUUUACAAAGGAUGAGCUGAGGGAGGCUGUUUUGCUUGUAUUUGCCAACAAACAAGACCUUCCCAAUGCAAUGAAUGCUGCAGAAAUAACUGAUAAGCUUGGUCUCCAUUCUCUUCGUCAACGCCACUGGUACAUACAGAGCACAUGCGCUACUUCUGGGGAGGGUCUUUACGAGGGGUUGGAUUGGCUUUCCAACAACAUUGCUAGCAAUGCUUUGGACCUUAGAGGGUAGUUCCUCAUUUUCUCCGGUGACUAUUUAUUGUUAUUGCACAAUGGUGGUUUAGAUUCACUUCUACACAUAAUAUGUAAGUGCUAUCUGCUUUAGCUUUAUACUCUUACCAAUGAAAGACCUGUUUGUA